GACGAACGCUGGCGGCGUGCCUAAUACAUGCAAGUAGAACGCUGAAGAGAGGAGCUUGCUCUUCUUGGAUGAGUUGCGAACGGGUGAGUAACGCGUAGGUAACCUGCCUUGUAGCGGGGGAUAACUAUUGGAAACGAUAGCUAAUACCGCAUAACAAUGGAUGACACAUGUCAUUUAUUUGAAAGGGGCAAUUGCUCCACUACAAGAUGGACCUGCGUUGUAUUAGCUAGUAGGUGAGGUAACGGCUCACCUAGGCGACGAUACAUAGCCGACCUGAGAGGGUGAUCGGCCACACUGGGACUGAGACACGGCCCAGACUCCUACGGGAGGCAGCAGUAGGGAAUCUUCGGCAAUGGGGGCAACCCUGACCGAACAACGCCGCGUGAGUGAAGAAGGUUUUCGGAUCGUAAAGCUCUGUUGUAAGUCAAGAACGAGUGUGAGAGUGGAAAGUUCACACUGUGACGGUAGCUUACCAGAAAGGGACGGCUAACUACGUGCCAGCAGCCGCGGUAAUACGUAGGUCCCGAGCGUUGUCCGGAUUUAUUGGGCGUAAAGCGAGCGCAGGCGGUUUGAUAAGUCUGAAGUUAAAGGCUGUGGCUCAACCAUAGUUCGCUUUGGAAACUGUCAAACUUGAGUGCAGAAGGGGAGAGUGGAAUUCCAUGUGUAGCGGUGAAAUGCGUAGAUAUAUGGAGGAACACCGGUGGCGAAAGCGGCUCUCUGGUCUGUAACUGACGCUGAGGCUCGAAAGCGUGGGGAGCGAACAGGAUUAGAUACCCUGGUAGUCCACGCCGUAAACGAUGAGUGCUAGGUGUUGGAUCCUUUCCGGGAUUCAGUGCCGCAGCUAACGCAUUAAGCACUCCGCCUGGGGAGUACGACCGCAAGGUUGAAACUCAAAGGAAUUGACGGGGGCCCGCACAAGCGGUGGAGCAUGUGGUUUAAUUCGAAGCAACGCGAAGAACCUUACCAGGUCUUGACAUCCCGAUGCUAUUUCUAGAGAUAGAAAGUUACUUCGGUACAUCGGUGACAGGUGGUGCAUGGUUGUCGUCAGCUCGUGUCGUGAGAUGUUGGGUUAAGUCCCGCAACGAGCGCAACCCCUAUUGUUAGUUGCCAUCAUUCAGUUGGGCACUCUAGCGAGACUGCCGGUAAUAAACCGGAGGAAGGUGGGGAUGACGUCAAAUCAUCAUGCCCCUUAUGACCUGGGCUACACACGUGCUACAAUGGUUGGUACAACGAGUUGCGAGUCGGUGACGGCAAGCUAAUCUCUUAAAGCCAACCUCAGUUCGGAUUGUAGGCUGCAACUCGCCUACAUGAAGUCGGAAUCGCUAGUAAUCGCGGAUCAGCACGCCGCGGUGAAUACGUUCCCGGGCCU
rnacentral:rRNA from 1 species